GUAGUUUAAUACUCUCCUCUGUGUCAGAAGGUGUAGUUUAAUACUCUCCUCUGUGUCAGAAGGUGUAGUUUAAUACUCUCCUCUGUGUCAGAAGGUGUAGUUUAAUACUCUCCUCUGUCAGAAGGUGUAGUUUAAUACUCUCCUCUGUGUCAGAAGGUGUAGUUUAAUACUCUCCCCUGUGUCAGAAGGUGUAGUUUAAUACUCUCCUCUGUGUCAGAAGGUGUAGUUUAAUACUCUCCUCUGUGUCAGAAGGUGUAGUUUAAUACUCUCCCCUGUGUCAGAAGGUGUAGUUUAAUACUCUCCUCUGUGUCAGAAGGUGUAGUCUCUGUGUCAGAAGGUGUAGUUUAAUACUCUCCUCUGUGUCAGAAGGUGUAGUCUCUGUGUCAGAAGGUGUAGUCUCUGUGUCAGAAGGUGUAGUUUAAUACUCUCCUCUGUGUCAGAAGGUGUAGUUUAAUACUCUCCUCUGUGUCAGAAGGUGUAGUUUAAUACUCUCCUCUGUGUCAGAAGGUGUAGUCUCUGUGUCAGAAGGUGUAGUCUCUGUGUCAGAAGGUGUAGUUUAAUACUCUCCUCUGUGUCAGAAGGUGUAGUUUAAUACUCUCCUCUGUGUCAGAAUGUGUAGUCUCUGUGUCAGAAGGUGUAGUUUAAUACUCUCCUCUGUGUCAGAAUGUGUAGUCUCUGUGUCAGAAGGUGUAGUUUAAUACUCUCCUCUGUGUCAGAAGGUGUAGUUUAAUACUCUCCUCUGUGUCAGAAGGUGUAGUUUAAUACUCUCCCCUGUGUCAGAAGGUGUAGUCUCUGUGUCAGAAGGUGAAGUUUAAUACUCUCCUCUGUGUCAGAAGGUGUAGUCUCUGUGUCAGAAGGUGUAGUUUAAUACUCUCCUCUGUGUCAGAAGGUGUAGUCUCUGUGUCAGAAGGUGUAGUUUAAUACUCUCCUCUGUGUCAGAAGGUGUAGUUUAAUACUCUCCUCUGUGUCAGAAGGUGUAGUCUCUGUGUCAGAAGGUGUAGUUUAAUACUCUCCUCUCUGUCAGAAGGUGUAGUCUCUGUGUCAGAAGGUGUAGUCUCUGUGUCAGAAGGUGUAGUCUCUGUGUCAGAAGGUGUAGUCUCUGUGUCAGAAGGUGUAGUCUCUGUGUCAGAAGGUGUAGUCUCUGUGUCAGAAGGUGUAGUCUCUGUGUCAGAAGGUGUAGUCUCUGUGUCAGAAGGUGUAGUCUCUGUGUCAGAAGGUGUAGUCUCUGUGUCAGAAGGUGUAGUCUCUGUGUCAGAAGGUGUAGUCUCUGUGUCAGAAGGUGUAAUCUCUGUGUCAGAAGGUGUUGUUCAAAACCUCCCCACUGUUUUCAUCUCCUCUCUGACUACUAACACAAAGCAGGUUAUUUUUCACUCUGCCCACAUUAAAAUAAAUGACA